rnacentral:tRNA from 1 species
GCCGAAGUGGUGGAAUUGGUAGACGCGCUGCGUUCAGGGCGCAGUGGGCACUAGCCCGUGCGGGUUCGAGUCCCGCCUUCGGCA